AAUAGUUUCUUUGGUGGUGACCUACUACAUGGAUAACCGUAGUAAUUCUAGAGCUAAUACAUGCGUAAAUCUCGACUCACGAAGAGACGUAUUUAUUAGAUAAAGACCGACCUCGUUCUGCGGUGAAUCAUAAUAACUUCACAGACCGCAUGGCUUUAUGCCGGCGGUGUUCCAUUCAAAUUUCUGCCCUAUCAACUUUCGACGGUAGGAUAGAGGCCUACCGUGGUGUUCACGGGUGACGGAGAAUUAGGGUUCGAUUCAGGAGAGGGAGCCUGAGAAACGGCUACCACA
rnacentral:rRNA from 1 species